UAACACGAGGGGUGCAAGCGUUGUCCGGAAUCACUGGGCGUAAAGGGCGCGUAGGUGUCCCGAUAAGCUCUGAUUGAAAUCUCCCGACUUAAUCGGGAAAGUGGUCAGGGAACUGUCGGGAUCGAGUUUGGCAGAGGAGAGUGGAAUUCCUGGAGUAGCGGUGAUAUGCGUAGAUAUCAGGAAGAACACCGAAGGCGAAGGCAGCUCUCUGGGCCAAUACUGACGCUGAGGCGCGAAAGCGUGGGGAGCAAACAGGAUUAGAUACCCUGGUAGUCCACGCCGUAAACGAUGAGCACUUGGUGCUGGAGGAUUUGACCCCUUCAGUGUCGUAGCUAACGCGUUAAGUGCUCCGCCUGGGGACUACGACCGCAAGGUUG
rnacentral:rRNA from 1 species